CCCUUAGAUGUUCUGGGCCGCACGCGUGCUACACUGAGUGGAUCAGCGGGUCAGGUUGCGCGAAAGCGUUUCCUAAUCUUUAAAUCCGCUCGUGAUGGGGAUUGACGGUUGCAAUUUUCUGUCAUGAACGAGGAAUACCUUGUAAGCGCGGGUCAUCAGCUCGUGCUGAUUACGUCCCUGUCCUUUGUACACACCGCCCGUCGCUCCUACCGAUUGAGUGCUCAGGUGAAUAAUUCGGACUGCAGCAAUGUUUGGAUCCCGAACGUUGCAGCGGAAAGUUUAGUGAACCUUAUCACUUAGAGGAAGGAGAAGUCGUAACA
rnacentral:rRNA from 1 species